AACGAACGCUGGCGGCGUGGCUAAGACAUGCAAGUCGCACGGAUCGUGUAGCAAUAUACGGUUAGUGGCGAAAGGGAGAGUAAUGCAUAGGUAACGUACCUUGGACACAGGGAUAACAGCGGGUCCGCAAGGAUCCUUUGCGAAAGUGCUGCUAAUACCUGAUGAAGUCGUUGAGCCGCAUGGUUCGACGAUCAAAGGGGCGGGGCAACCUGCCGGUCUGGGAGCGGCCUAUGUCCUAUCACCUAGUUGGUGAGGUAACGGCUCACCAAGGGGAUCGGACGGGUAGCGGGUGUGAGAGCAUGACCCGCUCAUCGGGACUGAGACACUGCCCGGACACCUACGGGUGCCUGCAAGUAACGAAUAUUGGGCAAUGGGCGAAAGCCUGACCCAGCGACGCCGCGUGCAGGAGGAA
rnacentral:rRNA from 1 species